rnacentral:rRNA from 1 species
AUGACUAAAGUAUCUAAUGUAGCGAAGGAUGUCACUCAAGUUUCAUAUUUGGGAAAACCAAAUUGUGUUUGUGAAUUUUGCAAUGCCAUUAUGUGGCAUGGAGAUAGAAGCACAAGCAUAGGUAACAUCACAGCUCCAAAAUUUGGUCUCUGCUGCAAGGAAGGGAAAGUUAAAUUACCACCACUGAAACAAGCUCUACUGUAUCUCCGACAGCUACUACGUUACAAUGAAAGAGGAGAAUCAUCAAAUUUCCACCAGAACAUCAGGUUGUACAACUCGAUGUUCGCAUUCACUUCAAUGGGACGAAAUGUUGACUAUGAAAUUAAUAAGCAGGCAUCUGGACCGUAUGUUUUCCGUUUGAAUGGCCAGAAUUACAAUCAGAUUGGCACUUUACUUCCUAAAGAUGACGUGACGAAACCAAAAUUUGCCCAAUUGUACAUACAUGACUCAGAAAAUGAAGUGCGGAAUAGGAUUAAUGCAUCUGCUUCAACGGAGAGUAAGACACAACCAGAUGAAAACAUUGUCAAAGGACUACUGGAGAUGCUUGAUGAGCAUAAUGUUUUAGUCAAAUCAUUUCGUAUGGCAAGGGGCAGAUUCCAAAACCGACGUAUUAAAGAUGUAAGACUAAGAUUGAUCAACAAAAGGUCGAAAGACGGAUGGCAAUACAACCUACCAUCUGCCUCAGAAGGCGCAGAACUAAUUAUUGGGGAACAAGAUGGAGAAAAUAAUGAAUUUGAUAUAAUAGUUGAGACCAAAGACAGAAUUUUACAGAGGAUUUCAGAGUUGCACCCAAGCUAUAUGUCAAUGCAGUACCCCUUGCUUUUUCCAUAUGGAGAAGAUGGUUUCAGACCAGAAAUAGAGUAUGAAAAUAAAAGAGGCAGCAAAGGUAAAAGAAAGUAUGUAACAAUGCUGGAGUUUUAUGCAUAUCUCAUACAACAAUGUCUGAACCAAACUUCAACAUUGCAAAUGAGUGGACGUUUGUUCCUGCAGUUCUUAGUUGAUGCAGCAACAUGCAUUGAAUAG